rnacentral:ribozyme from 1 species
ACUCGACUAAGCGAGUAUAAAGAGGCAUUAGGCUUAGAGCGUGACCAACUUCGGUUGGUCGGUUGUU